rnacentral:tRNA from 1 species
AACUCAUUNAUAAAGGAUUAUCCUUUUUUUAGAA